rnacentral:rRNA from 1 species
UACGUAGGGGGCGAGCGUUGUCCGGAUUCAUUGGGCGUAAAGAGCUCGUAGGCGGCUGCUCAAGUCGAAUGUGAAAACUCGAGGCUCAACCUCGAGCCUGCAUUCGAUACUGGGCGGCUAGAGUCUGGUAGGGGGAUCUGGAAUUCCUGGUGUAGCGGUGAAAUGCGCAGAUAUCAGGAAGAACACCCGUGGCGAAGGCGGCUCUCUGGGACGGUACUGACGCUGAGGCGCGAAAGCUAGGGGAGCAAACGGG